AACUGUAUAAAAGUCCUUGGAGGGGAGAGCAGCUCAUUCACUCAGCUCCGCUCCUCCUCCCGAGCCUUCACAGCCAAGGUUUCCAACCUUCCCUCCGACCAGCCCAAAAAUGUGCUCCCGUGAGAACAGAGGCUGCCACAGCUCCGAGAGCUCCUCCUGCCACGGCGGCAGCUCCUCCUGCCACGACAGCGACCGCUCCUGCCACGGCUCCGAGGGGGUGGUGUGCCACGAGGUGACCCCGGUGCCGGACGUGACCCCCGUGGUGGUGCUGACCCCGCAGUGCCCGGUGGCCACCGGGACGGGGCAGGUGCCCCUGGCCCAGGUUCCGUGCCAGCAGCAGCAGCAGCAGAUCAAGCAGCCGGUGCAGUGGCCGCCGCAGCAGCAGCAGAAGUGAAGGGCCCGGAGCUGCUCCUGUCCCCUGUCCCCUGAGCUUGGACAGGCCCUGCCUCAUCCCUCCGGCCCCUUCCCUCCUCCUGAGAACCCCGAGUGGCAUUAGUGCGGUGGAAUUGGGAUUUUUUCCCCCGCGCGCGCGGGAAUUCCGAUCUCUUCAUUCCCUGCUCCUGUCUCCAGUAGCAAAGGUGUGAUAUUAAAACCUAAAGCUCAUCAAA